UGAGUACGAGAUGCUACGGCAUCGAAGCAGUCUAUGUCAUACUUCCAAGAAAAGCUUGCACUGUCAGAAACAGAUAAUGCCUGUACCAUAACCGACACAGGUGGGUAGGUAGAGUAUACUAAGGGGCGCGAGAUAACUCUCUCUAAGGAACUCGGCAAAAUGACUCCGUAACUUCGGGAGAAGGAGUGCCUUAUUUUUAAGGUUGCAAUAACAAGAUCCAAGCAACUGUUUACCAAAAACACAGGUCUCCGCUAAGUCGUAAGACGAUGUAUGGGGGCUGACGCCUGCCCAGUGCCAGAAGGUUAAAGAAGUCGGUUAGCAUUCGCGAAGCUGGUAACUGAAGCCCUGGUGAACGGCGGCCGUAACGAUAACGGUCCUAAGGUAGCGAAAUUCCUUGUCGGGUAAGUUCCGACCCGCACGAAAGGCGUAAUGAUUUGGAUACUGUCUCGGAGAGGGGCUCGGUGAAAUAGACUUGUCUGUGAAGAUGCGGACUACCUGCACCUGGACAGAAAGACCCUAUGAAGCUUUACUGUAACUUGAAAUUGAAAUUGGACUUUAUUUGCGCAGUAUAGGUGGGAGGCGUUGAAAAUAUUCUUGCGGGAAUAUUGGAGCCAUCAGUGAGAUACCACUCUUGUAAUGUUAGAUUUCUAACUUUAUAUCAUUAUCUGGUUAAAGAACAGUUUUCAGGCGGGCAGUUUGACUGGGGCGGUCGCCUCCCAAAUGGUAACGGAGGCGCACAAAGGUUUCCUCUGAACGGGUAGAAAUCGUAUCUAGAGUGUAAAGGCAUAAGGAAGCUUGACUGUGAGACCUACAAGUCGAGCAGGGACGAAAGUCGGUCUUAGUGAUCUGACGGUGCUGAGUGGAAAGGCCGUCACUCAACGGAUAAAAGUUACUCUAGGAUAACAGGCUGAUCUCCCCCAAGAGUUCACAUCGACGGGGAGGUUUGGCACCUCGAUGUCGGCUCAUCGCAUCCUGGGGCGGUAGUACGUCCCAAGGGUUGGGCUGUUCGCCCAUGAAAGCGGUACGCGAGCUGGGUUCAGAACGUCGUGAGACAGUUCGGUCCAUAUCCGGUGUAGGCGUUAGAAUAUUGAGAGGAGCCUUCUUUAGUACGAGAGGACCGAGAAGGACAUACCUCUGGUGUACCAGUUAUCGUGCCAACGGUAAACGCUGGGUAGCUAUGUAUGGAGUGGAUAACCGCUGAAAGCAUCUAAGUGGGAAGCCCACCUCAAGAUAAGUGUUCUCC
rnacentral:rRNA from 1 species